rnacentral:rRNA from 1 species
UACGUAGGGCGCAAGCGUUGUCCGGAAUUAUUGGGCGUAAAGGGCGCGUAGGCGGCUUUGCAAGUGGCGGGUGAAAUCCCUCGGCUUAACCGAGGAACUGCCUGCCAGACUGUGAGGCUUGAGACCGGGAGAGGUGAGUGGAAUUCCCAGUGUAGCGGUGAAAUGCGUAGAUAUUGGGAGGAACACCAGUGGCGAAGGCGGCUCACUGGACCGGAACUGACGCUCAUGCACGAAAGCGUGGGGAGCAAACAGG